rnacentral:rRNA from 1 species
CAGUCGCCGCGGUAAUACGAAGGGGGCUAGCGUUGUUCGGAAUUACUGGGCGUAAAGCGCACGCAGGCGGCUCGAUAAAUUAGAAGUGAAAGCCUUGGGCUUAACCUGAGAAUUGCUUUUAAGACUGUCGAGCUAGAAUCCUGAAGAGGGUAGUGGAAUCCCGAGUGUAGAGGUGAAAUUCGUAGAUAUUCGGAAGAACACCAGUGGCGAAGGCGACUACCUGGUCUGGCAUUGACGCUCAUGUGCGAAAGCGUGGGGAGCAAACAGGAUUAGAUACCCCUGUAGUCCCUGUCUCUUAUAC